UGCCCAGCAACUCCUAUCCCUACCACCUCGUGGUACUGGCCGGGGUACGAGUAACCUUGGGGAAGAUCGGGUAACCAACCCCCGGUGGGAACUUUGGUCGUAUGCUGACAGGGAAGG
rnacentral:ribozyme from 1 species